GAUAAAGCGGGGGAGGAUGCGGCGGUGAGACGGAUGGUGCUGGCGUUGGCCGGGGUGAUGUGGGGUAGAGGGUGAGGCGGCGGCCCGUGGCGUCUGCGGUGAAAGGCCUGGGCGUAACCCCGGGCGUGCAGGGGAUACGGGCUGGCUGGAGGCAGGCAGGGGGGAAUGGAAUUCCCGGUGUAGCGGUGAAAUGCGCAGAUAUCGGGAGGAACACCGGUGGCGAAGGCGGUUCUCUGGGCCUGUGCUGACGCUGAGGAGCGAAAGCGUGGGGAGCGAACAGGAUUAGAUACCCUUGUAGUC
rnacentral:rRNA from 1 species